AGGGAGAUUUCUCCCUCACCAUCACUGAUGCUGAUUACACUAAGAGGACCUGGUACACCUGUGAGUGUGAUGGUGUAGACAUCUGUGAUGUGAGACUACAGAUAGAGGCAUUGAGUUCUUCAGUUUGGAUCAAGUCCAAUGAAAAUCUGGUGCUGGAUUUGCCCAUAUCAGAGUCAGUGAAGGUGAUGUA